rnacentral:rRNA from 1 species
GCAAGUCGAGCGAGAAAGCACCUUCGGGUGUGAGUAGAGCGGCAAACGGGUGAGUAACACGUGGGAACGUACCUUUCAGUCUGGAAUAGCCCUGGGAAACUGGGAUUAAUGCCGGAUAUUCUCUACGGAGGAAAGAUUUAUCGCUGAAAGAUCGGCCCGCGUUAGAUUAGCUUGUUGGUGAGGUAAUGGCUCACCAAGGCUACGAUCUAUAGCUGGUCUGAGAGGAUGAUC